UACGCCCACAUCACGUUGAAACACCGGUUCCCGUACGAUCACCAAAGUUAAGCAACAUCGAGCCUGGUCAGCACCUAAAUGAGUAACCGCUUGGGAAUACCAGAUAC
rnacentral:rRNA from 1 species